rnacentral:tRNA from 1 species
GGCGAGUGACAGAGUGGACGAUUGUAGCAGUUUUGAAAAUUGUAGCCGAAAGGCCGAGGGUUCGAAUCCUCCUCGCCCA